rnacentral:rRNA from 1 species
GAUGAACGCUAGCGGCAGGCUUAACACAUGCAAGUCGAGGGGCAGCGAGGAGUAGCAAUACUCUGUCGGCGACCGGCGAAAGGGUGAGUAACGCGUGAGCAACAUGCCCGUAGGUGGAGGAUAGUCAUUGGAAACGAUGCGUAAUACUCCGUAACAACAGAGGCCGCAUGACCUUUGUUUAAUAGAUUCAUUGCCUACGGAUUGGCUCGCGUACCAUUAGGUAGUUGGUGAGGUAACGGCCCACCAAGCCGACGAUGGUUAGGGGUUCUGAGAGGAAGGUCCCCCACAUUGGAACUGAGACACGGUCCAGACUCCUACGGGAGGCAGCAGUGAGGAAUAUUGGUCAAUGGCCGAAAGGCUGAACCAGCCAUGCCGCGUGCGGGAGGACGGCCCUAUGGGUUGUAAACCGCUUUUGUGUGAGAGCAAUAAGGUCCACGUGUGGAUCGAUGAGAGUAUCAUACGAAUAAGCAUCGGCUAACUCCGUGCCAGCAGCCGCGGUAAUACGGAGGAUGCAAGCGUUAUCCGGAUUUAUUGGGUUUAAAGGGUGCGUAGGCGGGCUGCUAAGCGUGAGGUGAAAUGCCACGGCUCAACCGUGGAACUGCCUCGCGAACUGGUAGUCUUGAAUGCUCCUGCCGUGGGAGGAAUGUGUGGUGUAGCGGUGAAAUGCAUAGAGAUCC